rnacentral:piRNA from 1 species
CCUCUUCUGGCCUGUAGGCAUACA